GACGACGCUGGCGGCGUGCUUCACACCUGCCAGUCGAACGGAAAGGCCCUGCUUUUGUGGGGUGCUCGAGUGGCGAACGGGUGAGUAACACGUGAGUAACCUGCCCUUGACUUUGGGAUAACUUCAGGAAACUGGGGCUAAUACCGGAUAGGAGCUCCUGCUGCAUGGUGGGGGUUGGAAAGUUUCGGCGGUUGGGGAUGGACUCGCGGCUUAUCAGCUUGUUGGUGGGGUAGUGGCUUACCAAGGCUUUGACGGGUAGCCGGCCUGAGAGGGUGACCGGCCACAUUGGGACUGAGAUACGGCCCAGACUCCUACGGGAGGCAGCAGUGGGGAAUAUUGCACAAUGGGCGGAAGCCUGAUGCAGCAACGCCGCGUGCGGGAUGACGGCCUUCGGGUUGUAAACCGCUUUCGCCUGUGACGAAGCGUGAGUGACGGUAAUGGGUAAAGAAGCACCGGCUAACUACGUG
rnacentral:rRNA from 1 species